GUGAGGAAUAUUGGUCAAUGGGCGCAAGCCUGAACCAGCCAUCCCGCGUGAAGGAAGAAGGCGCUAUGCGUUGUAAACUUCUUUUCCAGGGGGAGAAUUUUUCCGUCGUGACGGGAAUUGACGGUACUCUGGGAAUAAGCAUCGGCUAACUCCGUGCCAGCAGCCGCGGUAAUACGGAGGAUGCGAGCGUUAUCCGGAUUUAUUGGGUUUAAAGGGUGCGUAGGCGGAUAGAUAAGUCAGUGGUGAAAUUCUGCAGCUUAACUGUAGACUUGCCGUUGAUACUGUCAGUCUUGAGUAUGGUCAAGGCAGGCGGAAUGUGUAAUGUAGCGGUGAAAUGCUUAGAUAUUACACAGAACACCGAUUGCGAAGGCAGCUUGCUGGGCCAUUACUGACGCUGAUGCACGAAAGCGUGGGGAUCGAACAGGAUUAGAAACCCGGGUAGUCC
rnacentral:rRNA from 1 species